UCUUGACCUCAUGAUCUGCCCACCUUGGCCUCCCAGAGUGCUGGGAUUACAGGUGUGAGCCACCAUGACCAGCCCAUUUUAGGUUUUAUGAAUAUAGCCAUGAGCAAAACAAACCAAAAAUCUGUCCUCACAGGAUUUAAAUUCUAUUGUAAGGAGACAGACAAGUAUAAAAAUAAACACUUUUGUGUGUUGGAAAGUGAUAAAUGCAAUGGAGAAAAAUAAGACAGGACAAGAGGUAUAGGUAGUGCAAGUGUUAGAUUGUUAGACUGCACCCUGCCGCCAGUGGAAGGCCUGGGGUCCCUAGCAGGAGGUGGGAAGUUAAUGGGAAGUGGUAGAAGGGGUACCUGCGGAGUGCUCACUCUGAGUUUCUUCCUCCGAUUUUUUUCAGGCAGCACAUGGUCUCCUACAGCGUUCAUUGUCAAUGACGGGGAUGUCCCCGAUGGGCUGAACCUUGGGUCGGUGGUGAGCGAUGUUGAGACAGGAGUGGUAUUUCUUUUCUACACCCUUUGUGCCCACAAGGCUGGCUGCCAGGUGGCCUCUACCAUGUUGGUAUGGAGCAAGGAUGAUGGUGUUUCCUGGAGCACACCCCGGAAUCUCUCCCUGGAUAUUGGCACUGAAGUGUUUGCCCCUGGACCCGGCUCUGGUAUUCAGAAAAAGCGUGAGCCAC